GGUGUUUAUUUGUGCUAACGAUUGCUUUCGUUUUAUUUGGAGUUAUCAUGUUAUUAAGAAAGCAUCAGUGACUUAAAUUGCUCAAAUUUUUUCGUUUUUUUUUUAUCACACAUGCCAUUAUAAAUUAAAAACACAUAAAAUUCAUGAUAUUUACAAAAAGAAAAUUGAGCAAUUUAAGUUGCUAAUGCAUUCUUAAUAACA
rnacentral:misc_RNA from 1 species